CUAGUACUCCCUCCGUUCCGAAUUACUUGUCUUGGAUUUGUCUAGGCUCAUUUUAGUGCUAGAUACUUCUGUAUCUAGACAAAUCCAAGACAAGUAAUUUAGAACGGAGGGAGUACGUA
rfam:Triticum urartu cultivar G1812 contig542193, whole genome shotgun sequence.